UUUUAAAAUACAAUUAUUAAAAUGGAAACCCUCGAGGGUGAGUCAUACUUUUGUGAAUUCUGUCAGAAUACCGUUGGAUUCCUCGUGGCCACCAAAACUCUGCUAUCAAGAACCUGGAGGGGUGAAAAACAAAAUUGAGUGGGUCAGUAAAACCAAGCUUUUCAAAAACAUUUCGCCAAAAAUAAUUCUAACCCCUCACUGUAAAACCUGUAUACUUUUCCCAGAAAAUAGUAUAAUAACAUAAUACUUUUCAUAAAUCUCGAAUCAUCAAUUUUUCUUUAAAACCCGAAAGUAUGCCAUGAUUUAAUUUCGAAAACAAAAUAAAUGAUGCAUCAAUGUAACAGGUGAAAAGUUGAAUUAACCGGAGACCCUGCAGUUGGUCCUGUACGGUUAAUUCCAUAGCUCAACAUCCAAUCCAACCGGAGUCACCUCGAUGACCUGUACGGCACUACACUGCAGAUAAGUCGGAACUACCUGAAGUAGUCUGUACGACAUGGAUGGUGUAAUAAUACGCUCUAGUGCUUCUCUCAUCAAUCAUCUGUGCACAUAAUCUAAGGUCACCCACUAGUCGGAAUCACAUCUAGUAAUCUAUACGACUAGCAGCAUGUCGGAACCCUCACUUGGUCUGUACGACAUCCACCUACUUGGAUCCAAGACGAGCGUGCGGUGUGGUGAAUAAUAUAAGCACUAACACCAUGAUUGCAGGUUAUGAGCUAUCCACAAUAUACACAUCAACAAUGCACAUGAAUAAUAUAAAACUCACCUGAUACUUACCUGUGCGUCCACAGCACCAAUUCACAUAUAAAUAUGCAUCAUAUAUCAAUUCAUGCUUUUCAUAUACUUCUAUGCAUGGCAUUUCAAAUCAUACUUUUCAUAUAAAUUCAAUUUCUGGGAAAACUCAAUAGUAUAUAGGUAAUACGAAAACAAAACUGCCCACUCACCUGGAGUUCGCCCUACAACUCCCUAGCACAACACAUCAAGGCGUCAUGACGAUCGCCGCCUAGAACAAUAAUCAAAUCCAACCUCAGAAAUCAUAUCGAUAGGAUAUAACUUAUAUAAAACACAUCACUACGCAGUUCGAUCCGAAAGAUCUGCAACUCAGAUUUUAAAUCUAUAACUUCUAGAGAUCCACAAUAUAUCUCUAGGACAACAUCCUGAAAUUUCAUUACCAUCCAACGGUCGGAUCUCCGUCAAUUUCCAAAACUAAGUGACGGUUAACAUUUUAUUUUAUGAACUUACAACUCUAAUUCCGGAAGAUCCGUAACUCGGAUUCCCAAUCCGUAAGUUCCAAUAAUCCUCAAAUAUUACGUAUUACAACGUAUCAAAGUUUGGUGACGAUCCAACGGUCGGAUCGUCAAUUCACAUUUUCACCUAAAUGCGAAAACUAUAAAACGUUAUUUAAAGCACCUAACCAAUAAUCGUAAUAACUUUUUCAUACGGUGCUCAAUUUGGGUAUAUGAAUAUACCACAGUGAUCUACUCGACGUCACGAACGUCGACAUAUUUUAAGAUUAUUUGUUUGAUGUGCCACGCGCCCCCACGCGCCAGGACAAGCACGGGGACACGCGCCCCCACGCGCAUCAUCCCCAACCCUGGGUUCGCCGGACUGGUUUUUCCGGCGGCCGGUUUCCGGCCAAACUUCAAACGCCUUGUUCUCCUUCGUUUCUCAACCAUUUUAUUCGUAUAAUAUAUCAAAUUGAAGCCCCAAACAUGUAGAAUCACAAUACACUACUUUAAGGCUCUAAAAACAACUAAAUCUCACCGGAAAAAUCCAAGCAAAACCGGCCAAAGUCGAACUCGACGAUCCCGACGUCCAAACCUUCCAAACGAACGUCCCCGAGCUUCCUUAGGACCUCACUAAGCUCACUAUAAGCUUAGAAUUCCCUGAAAAUCAACAUUUCAUGUGUGCAUGAACAGUACUCAAAAACUGGGGUUCGGGUUUCAGGGGUUUUUCGAAGGUUUCACUUCCUAAAACUAGCAUCAAUGAACUCAGGACGUCGAAACGAUGAAGAUACAUACCUUAUUUGCCUCGAUCCGUCGAGUUUUUGGAGGGUUUGGGUGUGUGCCGUACGAUGGGUGUGUGUGUGGGUGCGAAGUCGAGAGAGACAGAGACAGGAAAAGCAUGGGGGAAGGAGAGGGAGAGAGAGAGGUCUUGUGUGGUCCAAACUAAUCCACACCCUCCAUUUCAUCCUAAUCAUACGUACCAAAAAUCAAUUUCCAACACAAAUCCCAUCCAACCAUAUGACAUUCUCUCAAUUAACCAAUGCCUAAUUCAAAAUAACGUUACAUACUUACGUACCUUAGUAACGACAAGGGCAUUCCCGCCAUUUCAUAUUCCCGUCAACAGUACCCCCGGGACGGGCUGUGACAAUCUUCCCCCCUUAUAGAAUUUCGUCCCCGAAAUUCCCAUAACCAAAAAAAUCAUUUAAUACUCGUAGAAUAAUCUUGGGUACAUCUCUCUCAUCCGGUCUUCCGUCUCCCAAGUAGCUUCUUCUACAGAAUGGUUUCUCCAUAACACCUUCACCAAACUCACCGUCUUGUUCCUUAGAACCUUAUCUUUCCAAUCCAAGAUAGUCACUGGUUUCUCAUCAUACGUCAAAUCUGGAUUAAUCUCUAACGGUUGAGGAGGAAUCACAUGAGAAGGAUCGGAAAUAUAAUGCCGAAGCAUAGAGACGUGAAACACAUUAUGGACCUUAGAUAACUUCGGAGGCAACUCCAACCGGUAGGCAACUUCACCAAUUCUUUCGGUGAUCUCAUAAGGUCCAAUAUAUCUCAGACUUAGCGUUCCUCUUUUCCCAAAUCGUACCACACCUCUCCAAGGUGACAAUUUCAAAAACACCAAAUUACCCACAUCAUAAACUCGAUCAAUAGCAUGUCUAUCUGCUAUGCUCUUAUGUCGUUCUUGGGCCGCUUUCAGGUUAGCCUUAAUCACCUGAACAUUUUGAGUAGUCUCAUCCACAAUUUCUGGGCCUUCCAAUACUCUUUCACCAACCUCUGACCAACAUAAUGGCGUACGACACGCCCUACCAUAAAGUGCUUCAAAUGGUGACAUACCAAUGCUCAAAUGAAAACUAAUGUUGUAGACAAAUUUCAUUAAAUCUAGGCGAUCAGAAACAAUAUUCACUGGAACGCCAUGAUACCUCACAAUAUUUGUGAUGAACAGCUUAGCCAAUUUAUUCAAAGGAUACUUUUCUCCCACUGAAAUGGAGUGUGCUGGCUUGGUAAGCCGAUCUACAACCACCCAAACGCUAUCAAAUCCAUUCUGUGUACGUGGAAGCUUAUACACAGAAUCCAUAGUGAUAUUUUCCCAUUUCCACUGAGGAACGGGAAGUGGCCGCAUCCGACCAAAAGGUUUCUUUCUUUCUGCCUUCACUUGCUGGCAAAUAAUACAUCCACUCACAUACUCAGCAAUUUCUCUUUUCAUACCAGGCCAAUAAUAAAAUGGUCGAAUGGUAUGAUACAUUUUAGUUCCUCCCGGGUGCAUCGCAUAAGCUGAACAAUGCGCUUCAUCCAAAAUUUCCUUCCUCACUUUUCUAGGCGUCAAGUAGACAAUCAACUAAAAUCAGCCUAACUUGAAAAUUAGCCAAUAAAACUUCUUCUUAACUUUUACCUUAAGUUUCACUCUAGGGUCCCAAAUCUGCAAGAAGGGAAAACACAACAAGCAUACAAAGCAUUAAUUCUUACUGGAGCCUUCCUACCAAGUGCAUCGGUCGCAACAAUUUCACGAUCACCCUGGUCUUGUAAUCAUAAUUAUUUAGUAACUCAAUCCACCUUCGUUGCCUAAGAUUAGAUUCAUCUGAGUAAACAGAUAUUGGAGACUCUUAUGAUUCGUAGAAAUCUUACACUUUUCUUCAUAAAGAUGAUGUCUCCCAAUCUUCCCAGCAAAGAUGAUAGUUGUUAAUUCCAAAUCACGAGUAGAGUAAUUUAUCUCAUGAGGUUUCCAUUUGUUGCGGUGCAUAGACAAUUACCUUAACACUUCCACUUUAACAUAUCCAACACCAUACAAAGAAGCAUCAUUAAAACCUCAUAAUUACCGUUAUCGUCUUGAAGUGUUAAAACAUACGCAUGAGUGAGGAAAUACCGUAACUGUUGAAAACUUUACUCACAAUUUCCUUCUCACUCAAACUUAACCUCUUUCCUUAUCAAUCGUGUCAAUGGCAAGGUAAUAACUAAAAAAAAAACCUUCAACAAACCAUUUAUAACACCCUGCUAAGCCAAGAAAUUUCCAAACUUCAGCCACGGUUCGCGGUUGUUCCAAAUUCUCAAUCGCUGCUACCUUUUAAAAUUUCGCUUGAAUACCUUAACCAUAUAUAACGCAUUUUAUAAUUGUUGUUUGAUUCAUACAACAUUGACACUUGCUAAACUUAGCAUACAAUCAACGUUCCUUCAAUCUUUGCAACACCAACUCGAAAUAUCUAACAUGCUCUGCUCUAGGCUUAGAGUAUCCCAGAGUAUCGUCAAUGAAAACAAUAACGAACCUGUCAAGAUAUUCUUGGAAAACUUCAUCCAUCAACUUAUAAAACAGCAGGAGAAUCCGUCAAUUCGAAUAGCAUCACUAAAAUUCAUAAUGACCAUAAUGAGUCCUAAAAACAAUCUUAGGAACAUUAUCACUAACUCUUCAAUUGGUAAUAACCCGACCUUAAGUCAACCUUAGAAAAUCCGCAGACACCUUUAAAUUGAUCAACAAUUCAUUAAUAUGCAACAAUGGAUAACGGUUCUCAAUCUUUACCUGAUUCAAUUGCCUAUAUUCAAUGUAUAGCCUUAAUGUCCAUUUUCUUCCUCAACAAUAAGCUGGUGCUCCCUCUACGUGAUGUACUUUGAAUGAACCUUUAUCAACUAAUUCAUGUAAUCGAAUUUCCAAUUCCCUUAACUCAUCAUGAACCAAUCUCUAACAUAAAAUUUGUACCUGGAGACAAUUCAACAUUGAACUCUACAUCUCCGCCCGACAACAAUCCAGGUAAUUCCUCAGGGAAAACAUCAAAAAAUGUCUAACCACCUUUACAUUUUCCAAAAUACUAGAAGCAACUCAUUUAGCACCACACGAGCUAAGUAUCCUUGGCAGCCUUUCAAUAACAAUCUCUUUGCUCUCACAGCAUAAAUGAUGGCCUAACUCAAUCCACUUUGCUCAAUCACAAAGGUAACCUUUGAUAAUCCAUAUUGGCAAGAUUAUAACCUAACCAAUCUGUGCUUAAAAUCACAUCGAAAUCCACAAUGUCUAACAGGAUAAGAUUCACUGGCAUAACUACUUCUUCCACCAUCACUGGACACCCUGAAGGUGUAUUAUUAUCAUCUUGUUCUUCAUUAGAAAUACAUAAAUACGCCUCGAUCGUGCUCCAACAUUACUCUCUUUGGCAACAUCGUCCAUAAUAAGAAAUAUAUCAGCCGGAGUCAGCUAGAAUGACCUGUACGGCUUACUCCUCAAUUUUCCAAAUAAUAUGUUCGCCGGAUCCACCUCUUGUGGCCUGUACGGCUGGACUUAUAACUCAUCAAAUAUCCCUGUACUCACGGCCCAUCUGACCAAACUAUUAAGUCCAUAAACCUGCUGGAUCGAUAUUGUGGUGUCAGGGAAGACUGUUGGGUAAUAACUGAUUCUAGGGACCAUUCAUAACUCUAUGUCCCAUCCGUCCACAUGAACACAUUCACUGAUCCCCACACUUUCCAAAGUGUCUAAUAUUGUACCUAUGGCACAAAGGUACAUUUCUCUUAUUCAAAUCACCUUAUCUCUGAGAUCUGGGCUCACCAAUAAAUCUAUCCCUUCGCCUCUGACCAGUGGCAUCAAAAUCUCAGCUGGAAGAAUUAGUUCUAACUUCACUUCUUUUGAAGCUCUGAGUCUUUCGAUGUCCUUGAUAUGACGGAUCUUUAAACUUAUCGUCUGUCUUCUAAUCACCAUUCUUUUCUUAUUCUUCUUUACUCUCGCUGAUCAUGUUCUCAGAGUCCUCAAUUCUCAACAACAUCUCGUAAAUUCUUGGUAAAUAGUACAUUGGAUAGUGAUCGCCAAAGAACGCCACUUCCUCUUAUUAUCCAGCCUAAAACAACAUAACACCUCAACCCUUAGCAACAAUAUCCGAAUGGAAACGAGGCAAGUCUAAAAACUUUCUAUAAUACUCAUUUGUCGUCAUCUUCCUUGUUUUCCAUAUGCAAACUCUUGUUUACUACCAUCAUAAUAUGCCGGAGGAAUAAAUCUUUUCUUUAACAAUUCUUUAAACAAUUCUCAAUCGGCUGUUUCCUCCGGUGACGACGAAUAAUACUCCUGUUUCCACCAUAAUAUAAAUUCAUAACCCACAACCAGGUAGUCGUCUCGACCCGACUGUCAGAAGGAAGAUUCCUUUGAUUGGCAUAACCCAAAACGUCUUUUCCAAGUGAGUAAGCCAACACUCUGCUCCCUCGGGUUCAUAAUUUCCAUAAAGUGAUUCAAAUUCAACUUAUAACCAGUCUCAAAGAGUUUCUUAGAUAAUAGACUGAAUCACAAUAGUAAUAGUUUCCCCCUAAACUGCUAAAUUAGAGAAACUAAGCUUAUCUGAACGGCGUGGCUCCCUACGAGGUGGUAUAGUUCUGACAGAAGACACUAGGGAAUUCUCAAGAUGUUCAGGAUUGCAACCUAUGCUCUGAUACCAACUGACACACCCCGUCCCGAAGGAGGGCAUGCUGGCCGUCACAUGAGAGUGACGUAACCAUUUACACAGUUCGGAAGCUUUUAAAAUACAAUUAUUAAAAUGGAAACCCUCGAGGGUGAGUCAUACUUUUGUGAAUUCUGUCAGAAUACCGUUGGAUUCCUCGUGGCCACCAAAACUCUGCUAUCAAGAACCUGGAGGGGUGAAAAACAAAAUUGAGUGGGUCAGUAAAACCAAGCUUUUCAAAAACAUUUCGCCAAAAAUAAUUCUAACCCCUCACUGUAAAACCUGUAUACUUUUCCCAGAAAAUAGUAUAAUAACAUAAUACUUUUCAUAAAUCUCGAAUCAUCAAUUUUUCUUUAAAAAACCCGAAAGUAUGCCAUGAUUUAAUUUCGAAAACAAAAUAAAUGAUGCAUCAAUGUAACAGGUGAAAAGUUGAAUUAACCGGAGACCCUGCAGUUGGUCCUGUACGGUUAAUUCCAUAGCUCAACAUCCAAUCCAACCGGAGUCACCUCGAUGACCUGUACGGCACUACACUGCAGAUAAGUCGGAACUACCUGAAGUAGUCUGUACGACAUGGAUGGUGUAAUAAUACGCUCUAGUGCUUCUCUCAUCAAUCAUCUGUGCACAUAAUCUAAGGUCACCCACUAGUCGGAAUCACAUCUAGUAAUCUAUACGACUAGCAUGUCGGAACCCUCACUUGGUCUGUACGACAUCCACCUACUUGGAUCCAAGACGAGCGUGCGGUGUGGUGAAUAAUAUAAGCACUAACACCAUGAUUGCAGGUUAUGAGCUAUCCACAAUAUACACAUCAACAAUGCACAUGAAUAAUAUAAAACUCACCUGAUACUUACCUGUGCGUCCACAGCACCAAUUCACAUAUAAAUAUGCAUCAUAUAUCAAUUCAUGCUUUUCAUAUACUUCUAUGCAUGGCAUUUCAAAUCAUACUUUUCAUAUAAAUUCAAUUUCUGGGAAAACUCAAUAGUAUAUAGGUAAUACGAAAACAAAACUGCCCACUCACCUGGAGUUCGCCCUACAACUCCCUAGCACAACACAUCAAGGCGUCAUGACGAUCGCCGCCUAGAACAAUAAUCAAAUCCAACCUCAGAAAUCAUAUCGAUAGGAUAUAACUUAUAUAAAACACAUCACUACACGCAGUUCGAUCCGAAAGAUCUGCAACUCAGAUUUUAAAUCUAUAACUUCUAGAGAUCCACAAUAUAUCUCUAGGACAACAUCCUGAAAUUUCAUUACCAUCCAACGGUCGGAUCUCCGUCAAUUUCCAAAACUAAGUGACGGUUAACAUUUUAUUUUAUGAACUUACAACUCUAAUUCCGGAAGAUCCGUAACUCGGAUUCCCAAUCCGUAAGUUCCAAUAAUCCUCAAAUAUUACGUAUUACAACGUAUCAAAGUUUGGUGACGAUCCAACGGUCAGAUCGUCAAUUCACAUUUUCACCUAAAUGCGAAAACUAUAAAACGUUAUUUAAAGCACCUAACCAAUAAUCGUAAUAACUUUUUCAUACGGUGCUCAAUUUGGGUAUAUGAAUAUACCACAGUGAUCUACUCGACGUCACGAACGUCGACAUAUUUUAAGAUUAUUUGUUUGAUGUGCCACGCGCCCCCACGCGCCAGGACAAGCACGGGGACACGCGCCCCCACGCGCAUCAUCCCCAACCCUGGGUUCGCCGGACUGGUUUUUCCGGCGGCCGGUUUCCGGCCAAACUUCAAACGCCUUGUUCUCCUUCGUUUCUCAACCAUUUUAUUCGUAUAAUAUAUCAAAUUGAAGCCCCAAACAUGUAGAAUCACAAUACACUACUUUAAGGCUCUAAAAACAACUAAAUCUCACCGGAAAAAUCCAAGCAAAACCGGCCAAAGUCGAACUCGACGAUCCCGACGUCCAAACCUUCCAAACGAACGUCCCCGAGCUUCCUUAGGACCUCACUAAGCUCACUAUAAGCUUAGAAUUCCCUGAAAAUCAACAUUUCAUGUGUGCAUAUGAACAGUACUCAAAAACUGGGGUUCGGGUUUCAGGGGUUUUUCGAAGGUUUCACUUCCUAAAACUAGCAUCAAUGAACUCAGGACGUCGAAACGAUGAAGAUACAUACCUUAUUUGCCUCGAUCCGUCGAGUUUUUGGAGGGUUUGGGUGUGUGCCGUACGAUGGGUGUGUGUGUGGGUGCGAAGUCGAGAGAGACAGAGACAGGAAAAGCAUGGGGGAAGGAGAGGGAGAGAGAGAGGUCUUGUGU
rnacentral:lncRNA from 1 species